CCCGAGUGCUGUGGUGGUGAGCGGGGCCGACGGAGCCGAAAGGUGACGGAAAUGCCCGAGUGCUGCAGGGGGCGGGGCUUGGGAAACCGAACGGCAACGGAAAUGCCCGAUUGUGGUGAUGGUGGGCGGGGCUGAGGGAGCCGAAAGAGGACGAAAAUGACCGAGUGCGGCGGUGGGCGGGGCCGAGGGAGCCGAAAGGUGACGGAAAUACCCGAGUGAAGCUGAGGGACGCGCGGAAAGAGCUGCAAACACCCGAUUGGCGGAGGAGAGAGCCGAAAAGCCAUCAAGACAAUUAAUUGAUGGCUCCGAACCCUUCCGAGCGGUGCCGAGAAUUGCCGAAUGAAUUCGGGUGGAAUUCUUAAAAAAAAAACUCCAAAACUCCCCCGGGGGUUCCCCUCACGGCCUCACCCGCCAGGGGGCGCCCCAAGCCCCCCAUGUAUUUUCCCGCCUUUUCCUCCUCCCUCAGCGCUCGCGCCCCGCCCCUUUCCCGGCAUGCCCUGCGCGCUAUUUAAGCGCCCGUGAGGGAGCGCGCCGGCCAUUUUGUCCCAGCAGCGGUCGGGAGAGUAUUUCUGCCCGCGAAAUAAUGCUUCUGCCCGUGGUAUGCGCCAUGGGGGCUGAGCUCUUGGCUCAUGGAAUCCUCAUCCGUGGGUUCCCCGGGGCCCCUCCCCAGUGGGAGAAGCCUCAGCCCAGGGUGAGCAUGAAGUGACCACAGAGACCCCAGCUCAGUGGGAGAUGCCUCAGAUUGGGGUGACGUUUGGACCACCAUGACUCCCCCUCAGUGGGAGAUGUCUCAUCCUGGGGUGACCCUUGGACCAUCAUGACCCCAACUCAGUGGGAGAAGGCUCAGCCUGGGGUGACCCUUGGAGCACCGUGACCCCCCCUCAGUGGGAGAUGCCUCAUUAUGGGGUGACCCUU